AGAUGGGAGCUUGCUCCCUGAUGUUAGCGGCGGACGGGUGAGUAACACGUGGGUAACCUGCCUGUAAGACUGGGAUAACUCCGGGAAACCGGGGCUAAUACCGGAUGGUUGUUUGAACCGCAUGGUUCAAACAUAAAAGGUGGCUUCGGCUACCACUUACAGAUGGACCCGCGGCGCAUUAGCUAGUUGGUGAGGUAACGGCUCACCAAGGCAACGAUGCGUAGCCGACCUGAGAGGGUGAUCGGCCACACUGGGACUGAGACACGGCCCAGACUCCUACGGGAGGCAGCAGUAGGGAAUCUUCCGCAAUGGACGAAAGUCUGACGGAGCAACGCCGCGUGAGUGAUGAAGGUUUUCGGAUCGUAAAGCUCUGUUGUUAGGGAAGAACAAGUACCGUUCAAAUAGGGCGGUACCUUGACGGUACCUAACCAGAAAGCCACGGCUAACUACGUGCCAGCAGCCGCGGUAAUACGUAGGUGGCAAGCGUUGUCCGGAAUUAUUGGGCGUAAAGGGCUCGCAGGCGGUUUCUUAAGUCUGAUGUGAAAGCCCCCGGCUCAACCGGGGAGGGUCAUUGGAAACUGGGGAACUUGAGUGCAGAAGAGGAGAGUGGAAUUCCACGUGUAGCGGUGAAAUGCGUAGAGAUGUGGAGGAACACCAGUGGCGAAGGCGACUCUCUGGUCUGUAACUGA
rnacentral:rRNA from 1 species